rnacentral:rRNA from 1 species
UACGUAGGGUGCAAGCGUUAAUCGGAAUUACGGGGCGUAAAGCGUGCGCAGGCGGUUUUGUAAGUCUGACGUGAAAUCCCCGGGCUCAACCCGGGAAUUGCGUUGGAGACUGCACGGCUAGAAUCUGGCAGAGGGGGGUAGAAUUCCACGUGUAGCAGUGAAAUGCGUAGAGAUGUGGAGGAACACCGAUGGCGAAGGCAGCCCCCUGGGUCAAGAUUGACGCUCAUGCACGAAAGCGUGGGGAGCAAACAGG